UUACCUGGUAAGUACUAGGGGUGCACUGAUCCGAUAUUAAGAUCAGAUAUCGGCCCCGAUAUUGACAAAAUUGCUGGAUCGGGGAUUGGAACAAUUAACAAAUCCAGGGGCUGAUCCAGUUUUUCCAAUGUUUGGUUACUUUUUGUUCUCUCUGUGUGCAC